GUGAGGAAUAUUGGUCAAUGGGCGAGAGCCUGAACCAGCCAAGUCGCGUGAAGGAUGAAGGUUUUAUGAAUUGUAAACUUCUUUUGCAGGGGAAUAAAGUACGGUACGUGUACCGUUUUGUAUGUACUCUGCGAAUAAGGAUCGGCUAACUCCGUGCCAGCAGCCGCGGUAAUACGGAGGAUCCAAGCGUUAUCCGGAUUUAUUGGGUUUAAAGGGUGCGCAGGCGGGUUGAUAAGUCAGCGGUGAAAGUUUGCAGCUUAACUGUAAAAUUGCCGUUGAAACUGUUGAUCUUGAGUGCAAAUGAGGUAAGCGGAAUGUGUUGUGUAGCGGUGAAAUGCUUAGAUAUAACACAGAACACCGAUUGCGAAGGCAGCUUACUGGGAUGCAACUGACGCUCAUGCACGAAAGCGUGGGGAUCAAACAGGAUUAGAAACCCCAGUAGUCC
rnacentral:rRNA from 1 species